CCUACGGGGGGCAGCAGUGAGGAAUAUUGGUCAAUGGCCGCAGGGCUGAACCAGCCAAGUCGCGUGAGGGAUGACGGUCCUAUGGAUUGUAAACCUCUUUUGUCAGGGAGCAAAGGGCGCCACGUGUGGCGCUUUGCGAGUACCGGAAGAAAAAGCAUCGGCUAACUCCGUGCCAGCAGCCGCGGUAAUGUGGAGGAUGCGAGCGUUAUCCGGAUUUAUUGGGUUUAAGGGGUGCGCAGGCGGAAUGUCAAGUCAGCGGUAAAAUUUCGGGGCUCAACCCCGACGUGCCGUUGAAACUGGCAUUCUUGAGUGUGCGAGAGGUAUGCGGAAUUCGUGGUGUAGCAGUGAAAUGCGUAGAGAUCACGCAGAACUCCGAUUGCGAAGGCAGCAUACCGGCGCCCAACUGACGCUGAAGCGCGAAAGCGUGGGUAGCGAACAGGAUUAGAUACCCUUGUAGUC
rnacentral:rRNA from 1 species